rnacentral:ncRNA from 1 species
ACAGUACAAACUGAACAGGCCGGGGGCAACCCUUUGAGUCGGGUCACGAAAAGGUGGCAGUGGAUUAUCCGAUAUUAUCCAUGGGACAGU